rnacentral:ncRNA from 1 species
AUGUAAGCUUUGAUAAGGACAACAGUUUCUUUUUACGGUUUCCAGAGAGGGAAGGAUGCUGAGAACUUCCCAACGCAGGAAAAGAAACUUACCACCUUUGAGCUGUACAGGGGAAAACCAGUAUCUUGUACCGGGUUAAGCCACGUUAAAGGCUACAUGAGUCAUCAUAUAUUGAUGGGAAUUUGGGUGGAACCACGGGUUAGCACGUACUCGUCCCUUUC